rnacentral:rRNA from 1 species
UACGUAGGGUGCAAGCGUUAAUCGGAAUUACUGGGCGUAAAGCGUGCGCAGGCGGUUCGGAAAGAAAGAUGUGAAAUCCCAGGGCUUAACCUGGGAAUGGCAUUGGUGACUGCACGGCUAGAGUGUGUCAGAGGGGGGUAGAAUUCCACGUGUAGCAGUGAAAUGCGUAGAGAUGUGGAGGAAUACCGAUGGCGAAGGCAGCCCCCUGGGAUAACACUGACGCUCAUGCACGAAAGCGUGGGGAGCAAACAGG